CACGUAAUGGUGGGGACUCGUGAGAGACUGCCGGGGUCAACUCGGAGGAAGGUGGGAUGACGUCAAAUCAUCAUGCCCUUAUGUCUAGGGCUUCACACAUGCUACAAUGGCUAGUACAGAGGGCUGCGAUACCGCGAGGUGGAGCGAAUCCCUUAAAAGCUGGUCUCAGUUCGGAUUGGGGUCUGCAACUCGACCCCAUGAAGUCGGAGUCGCUAGUAAUCGCAGAUCAGCAACGCUGCGGUGAAUACGUUCCCGGGCCGUU
rnacentral:rRNA from 1 species